rfam:Taenia asiatica genome assembly, scaffold: TASK_contig0001251
GUCCCUGUAGCUUAAUGGGAUAGAACGUAGUACUUAUAAUGCGGAAGUCGAGAGUUCGAGCCUCUCCAGGGACA